GGCAGCAGUGGUAGAUAUUGCACAAUGGCGAGGAAGCCUGAUGCAGCAACGCCGCGUGAGGGAUGACGGCCUUAGGGUUGUAUACCUCUUUUUUCAGGGAAGAAGCGAUAGUGACGUACCUGCAGAAAGCACCGGCUAGCCUACGUGCCAGCAGC
rnacentral:rRNA from 1 species